GGCCCAUUCACUUAGGGCCACCUGGUGGGCAUGUGUCAGCAGGGGCGCUGUGGCGCUUUAACAGUGCAAACAGGUCCUUUACUUAUCGCAAUAUGGGAGGAAGUGAGUGCCGCAAGUCACUUCCUCCCAGAGACCAGAGCCGCGUGGGAGGGGGAGGAGGUUGUAAGGAGGAGUCCAGGCCUGGAGAAAUUGGAGCUGCAGAGAGGAGAAUGCAGG